GCGCCACACACCUGUGCCCAGGUGACAGAGGGGAAAGGACGGUUCCCUGGACACCUAAGAGCUGGAUCUGGUGGGACUGAGGGGUGGACCCCUCCCCUUGUCAGUAUCUCUCUCCACACACACUUGAGAUGCCUCUUUCUCGCAGCCCUGGGGGGGCAAGUUCUGAAUAGCCGGUGAGAGAUUGGGUGAGGUGUGAAUUGUGGAUUCUGUCAACACCAUGAGCUCCUCAGGCAGUGAGGUCUCCAAGUCCAGCGCCAGGGAGAUCUAUGAGCAGAGGAAGAAAUAUUCCAACGUCAUCAUGACCGACGUCUCCCAAUACACCGUCAAC